rnacentral:RNase_P_RNA from 1 species
CCGUGUGAGUGACCGAUCGCGUCCGAAAGGAUGAGGAAAGUCCGGACUCCACAGAGCAGAGGAUCCGUUCGUCAAGGGCGGAAAACGCAGGGAAAUCCUGCGUGAUGGAAAGUGCCACAGAAAAUAGACCGCCCGCAAGGGCAAGGGUGAAAUGGCGGUGUAAGAGACCACCGGUGCGUUUGAAACAACGUACGCAGGGUAAACCCUCCUCGGAGCAAGAUCAAAUAGGGGACAGAACGGGCGGCUCGUCCGGUCUUGCGUCUUUGAGAUGCAGGUUAAGUUCCGGGUUGAUCGCUUAGAUGAAUGAUCGGAGCGCCGCAAGGCGUGAACAGAAUCUGGCUUAUUCGCCAUGCGGAACC